rnacentral:rRNA from 1 species
GACAGAGGGUGCAAACGUUGUUCGGAUUUACUGGGCGUAAAGCGCGUGUAGGCGGCUUGGCAAGUCGGAUGUGAAAGCCCACGGCUCAACCGUGGAAGAGCAUUCGAAACUGCUUCGCUAGAGUCCCGGAGAGGAAGGUGGAAUGCUUGGUGUAGAGGUGAAAUUCGUAGAUAUCAAGCAGAACACCUGCGGCGAAGGCGGCCUUCUGGACGGUGACUGACGCUGAGACGCGAAAGCGUGGGGAGCAAACAGG